ACAGCAGCAGCUUUGACACCAUUUUGGAUUGUAAAGCCCCUUUUAUUGGCAGCUGAUGUCAUCCUGUGCCUCAGCUCAUUACAUGUUUGAACAGCAGUCAGUGUUUAAUGUGAGUUUUCCUAACGCUCUGUGAUGUUCAACACUGUUUACUGGAAAAUAUACUGAUUCAAUUUCAUUGCUGGUAUUAAUGUAGAAGGGAAGUAAAGUGCAUGACUGCAGAUGUUUUCAUUUCCUCGUAAUGACUUUGCAACUUAAAGAGCGCAAAAGUUUAGCUUGUUGUGGGCGGAGACAAGAGCGGAAGUGGGUGGAGACAAAGCCUAUAUAUUGUAACCGCUUUAGUGUCGUCACUCAGUUUGGAGGAACAUCUGAAGGGAGAAAGCAGCCUGGUGUUUGAUUAGCUCCUCUCGUAGAAUUUUCUGGAAACCUUAAAUAUUUUUACAGCAAGUCUUCUUAAGUCCACUGAGGUAAAAGGUAUGCCAUCACUAAACAGAUCUACACCUGAAUCAGCCACCACAAGAAACUCACCAGCUUGGCUUUUUGUGAGAAUCCAGCAAUGGCUGACUCUUGUGAGAGACGCACAGGACACUGUUGUAUCUGUGUACCGGAUCAUUAGGCCUUUGUACCAGUUCAUUGCUGCGGUGUGGCAGAUUGGUUCGGGUCUAUACAAUUUGUCUCUGGUUUUCCCAGCUAGAUUCAGCUGGCUGGAGUUGGAUGCGGCUGUGCGCCGAAUUGGUUCGGGUGUACGCAGAUUCAGGAAACUGGAAGAUAUUGAGCUGGGAGAAAAACAUAUAUUUACAGUGUAGUGGAGGGGACGCAUGGCACAGACCUCCAACAGACCUCCCGUGACAAGUGAUCUUGGUAACAUCUGACAGGUGCUCACACUGACCCCCAAAAAGUGGCAGAGAAAGUAUUAAAAUUAUAAAACAAAAAGAAAGAAAUGGAAAUUCUUUUUGUGAGUGUGUGUGUGUGAGACACUUCUCAUGGUGCAGUUGAGGUGGCAGUGAUCGUCUGUGUGUUGCAUACUCUGACAGAACUCGUGGAAACAGACAUCAGAAACUACAGCUGUUUUAACAAACUUCAGUUUCACAGACCUUCAACAGCUGAGAAGAUCCUUUAGCUUGUUCACUCUGAGAACAUGCGGUGUCUUCUUACAUUUAUCUUGAAGAUGCCUAUCAGGAGUGAGAUGGAAUUGUUUUCCAGUUGGAUUUACAGAAAGUUCCAUUCUUGUUCCAUUUGAGAUUGAGCUGUUGAAUCCAAAUCUUUUGGAGAGCAGUUAAUGUGCGAUGUAGUAUAAAGCAUAUUCUGCAUCUUUGAUUUAAAAAAGAAAAAAGCAUAAAGAAUAGUAUGUAGCAUGUUUCCUGUAAAUUCUCUCCCUUCAAAAAAAAAAAAAAAAAAUUAGUGUUGGACUGGAGUUCCACUUCUGUUUUUUUUCUUCCCCAUCUUCUGACGUCAAAUCACCUGAGAUCUUUGACUUCUCAUUGGAUGUUGUUUAACUUUCUUGCACAUGCUCAGAUGGCAGGCGAUCAAGAAUGACUGUGCUUUUGUUCAGUUGCUACUGUUAACACAUUGAUUACUAAAACUGAUCAAAAUGUCGUCUUUGGUGUCCAACAGCUUAAAAAACAAACAAACAAACAAAAAAACCCUCAUAAAGGUUUGGAACAAGUGGAGGGUGGGUCCCUUUAAUUGUCUUGAUCAAAUCAAUGAUUAAAUUGAACCAAAAAGUCACAGUUCUGUAGAAACUUGAAUAUGGCCAAACGCUCACGUUACUUUCCUACAGGUUUGUGAAGAUGGAAGGCUCUGCUGCUGAGGAGAUAAAUCAAAGCCAGGCCUACCUCGUUAUUACAUUAUCAGGAAAUUAUAUUGUUACAGCAGCAACCACAAUUCAGUCCAUGCACACAGACCGAUUUACCCAAGUACACAUAGAAGGAAAAACCCAAUAUAUCAGGCAUAAUAGUAGGCAUAUUGCACAUAACCCAAUAAAAUACAUUACAAUUAUUGCACAUGACAGCACAAAAAGCCUGACUGCAGCAGGCAGGAAUGAUUUACGAUGCCGUUCAGUCUUACAUAUUGGAGGGAUCAUUCUGCCACUAAAUGUACUGUACCGGAACACCUCUAAAGCAUGUAAUGGAUGUGAAUCAUUGUUCAUAAUAACAUUUAUUUAUUUUUUAUAAUUAACAUUUAUUUAUGAUUUAUAAGUUACUGCUCUCAGUGAACGUUCUGCAGUGCAUUUUACAAAUGUCCAGUUUUCUCACCAUCUUUUCUUUUCUUUUCUUUCUCACCAAAACUAAAUAUUAUGACACAACGCAACGUUAAAACCUAAGGACUAUAGAUUCAUUCACGCUUAUAGAAUAGAAAGAAAAUAUUUCUAAAAGUCUUUAUCAAAGUCUUUAUUUCUAAACGUUUUAGAAAACUCAUUAAUGAAAAAUCUAAACAUUUGAUUUGUUUACCUGGAUACCUGUACAAUGCGUAGAAGAACGUCCACUGAGAGCAGUAACUUAUAAAGCAUAAGACUGAGCUGAACACAAGACAGGAAGGAUGACAAAUACAACAAAGGCAAUAACCGAUGUAACGAGUGGGACGGGGCCGAGAGCCGUGGGAGCGGAGUGAGGCCGGUGGAGUUUAAUGAUAAUGAGGGACACCUGCGCCACUCACCGGCCUCGAGUCCCACGGAGGAGCUCCGGAAGGAUAAAAGGAGGAGCAACGACAGUGCAAGACGAGAGAGGAUCAGGCCUGGACUUUAUUUUGUGUUUUGUUUGCGGCAGUCGUCCGCGAGGGGAUGCUGCUUUACUUUUGUGUUUGUUUAUUUUAUUUGUUAAAGUCUUUAAAUAUUUGCCGGUUCCUGCCUCCUUCCUCCCGUUCUACGAACUGUGUUACAACAGAAGACAUAGACAAAUGUAUCUCGCAAAGCAGUCAACACUUUGUUUUGGCACAUAGUGAAUGUCAUGACUAAGACCAAGCAGUGUGAUUUGGUUGUGUGUGUUUUUUCUGCUAAAGAUUUCCACCAGCAUAAGUUUGACUUCAACAUCACAAAUAUCCAAGGUGUUAUAAGAUUGAAAUCAGUGCACAAAGCAGCUCUGAACAUCCUCAUGUAUCCCAUCAUUCUUUUCAGUCCCCAAUUUACUCUCCUUUCUCACUGUCUGCAGUAAUAUUCAGACCAUUCUCCAACUAAAUCUGACAUUAUGGAUACAAUCCUCCAAUGAAGAGUGACUCAAAACACAGUUCAGUACCUGCAAGCACAAUAUGACUCAUGUCUCAAUACAGGUGUCUUAUUAUAAUAAAACUUCCACGGGUCUGUUUCUUAACUGCCCUAAGAUCCCAGCACAAACACAUCCCAUAAUCAGUGUGUGAUCCAUCAGUAAACACACACUCCUGUCUGUUUCAACACAAGCACUCAACUCAAGUGUAGUCUUGCUGCUGUGCUUAUGCUUAAGGCUUUACAAACAUUCAUGGUAAAAUAUAAGUCAUCUUCCCUGUUCUUUUGUUAAACUCCAUUUAUAUCACAAUUUGUCAAACAGGUGAUAACAAAAGUAAAUAUUUCCUCAUGAAAUGAUUUAUAUUGUUAAUUGACAUGAAAUUAUAAAUGUGUAUUCUUUUGAUUAUUUUAAAGUUUUAAUGUUUUUUAAUGUUAUAUACAGUUGUGGUCAGAAUUAUUGGCACUCUUGGUAAAUAUGAUCAAAGAAGGCUGUCAAAAUUAAUCUGCAUUGUUAAUCCUUUUGAUCUUUUUUUUUUUUUUAAAUCACAAAAAUCUAACCUUUUGGAUAAUAAGGAUUUAAAAUGGGGGGAAAAUAUCAUUAUGAAAUAAAUGUUUUUCUCUAAUACACAUUGGCCCCAAUUAACGGCACCCUUUUAUUCACUACUUUUUGAAACCUCCAUUUGCCAGUUUAACAGCUCUAAAUGUUCUCCUAUAAUGCCUGAUGAGGUUAGAGACACCUGACGAGAGAUCAGAGACCAUUCCUUCAUCCAGAAUCACUCCAGACCCUUUAGAUUCACAGCUCCAUGUUGCUGCUGCUUCUCUUCAGUUCACUCAUGUUCUACAGGGUUCAGGUCAGAGGACUGGAAUGGCCAGCAGAAGCUUGGUUUGGGCUCAGUGACCCGUUUUGAGGUUUGUGUUUGGAUUAUUGUACGGUUGGAAGAUCCAAACAUGGCCCAUUAUAAGAUUUCUAACAGAGUCAGUCACUUAUUGAUUUUUUAUCUGUUGGUAUUUGAUAGAAUCCAUGAUGCCAUGCGUCUAAACAAGAUGUCCAGGACCUCCAGCAGAAAUAUAGGCCCACAACAUCAAAAAUACAGCAGUAUAUUUCAUUGUACACAUGGGGUACUUUUUAUCCCUGUGUUCACCAAACCCAUCUUGAGUGUUUGCUGCUAAAAAGCUCAUUUUUUUUAGUUUCAUCGGACCAUAGAAGCCAGUCCCAUUUGAAGUUCCUGUUGUGUCUGAUAACUGAAUAUGCUGGAGUUUGUUUUUGGAUGAGCGAGGAUAAUUUUUCUUGAAACCCUCCCAAACAACAUGUGGUUAUGUAGGUGCUGUUUGACAAUUUUUUAAGGUUUUCUGACCCCAAGACUCAACUAUUUUCUGCAAGUCUCCAGCUGUGGUCCUUGGAGAGUCUUUAGCCGCUCAAACUCUCCUUCUCAGCGUGCAUUAGGACGAUAUAGACACACGUUCUCUUCCAGGCAGAUUCCUAACAUUUUAUGUUGAUUGUAAAUUCUUAAUUAUUGCCCUGAUGGUGGAAAUGGGAAUUUUCACUGCUCUAGCUCUUUUCUUAAAGCCACUUCACUAAUUUGUGAAGCUCAAUUACCUUUUGCUGCACAUCAGAAAUAUGUGACCCUGGACCACAAAACCAGUCUUAAGUCGCUGGGGUAUAUUUGUAGCAAUAGCCAAAAAUACAUUGUAUGGGUCAAAAUUAUUGAUUUUUCUUUUAUGCCAAAAAUCAUUAGGAUAUAAAGUGAAGAUCAUGUUCCAUUACGAUAUUUUGUAAAUUUCCUACUGUAAAUAUAUCAAAACUUAAUUUUUGAUUAGUAAUAUGCAUUGCUAAGAACUGCAUUUAGACAACUUUAAAGAUGAUUUUCUCAGUAUUUUGAUUUUUUUGCACCCUCAGAUUCCAGAAUUUCAAAUAGUUGUAUCUCGGCCAAAUAUUGUCAUAUCCUAACAAACCAUACAUCAAUGGAAAGAUUAUUUUUUACUUUCAGAUUUACUUUCAGAUUACCUUCAGAUGAUGUAUGAAUCUCAAUUUUGAAAAAUUGACACUUAAGACUGGUUUUGUGGUCCAGGGUCACAUAUAUAGGUGCAUCUCAAUAAAUUAGAAUGUCGUGGAAAAGUUCAUUUAUUUCAGUAAUUCAACUCAAAUUGUGAAACUUGUGUAUUAAAUAAAUUCAAUGCACACAGGCUGAAGUAGUUUAAGUCUUUGGUUCUUUUAAUUGUGAUGAUUUUGGCUCACAUUUAACAAAAACCCACCAAUUCACUCUCAACAAAUUAGAAUACUUCAUAAGACCAAUAAAAAAAACAUUUUUAGUGAAUUGUUGGCCUUCUGGAAAGUAUGUUCAUUUACUGUAUAUGUACUCAAUACUUGGUAGGGGCUCCUUUUGCUUUACCCAGACAGCAACAUAGUUUUGGCCCAGAUCCAGCCCACAUCUGUCCCGUGUAAAAUCCAUGCGGGCCAGAUGUGGGCCGGAUCUGGGCCGACAAUGCUUGCUGUCUGGGUAAUUACUGCUUCAAUUCGGCGUGGCAUGGAGGUGAUCAGUUUGUGGCACUGCUGAGGUGGUAUGGAAGCCCAGGUUGCUCUGAUAGUGGCCUUCAGCUCAUCUGCAAUGCUGGGUCUGGUGUCUCAUCUUCCUCUUGACAAUACCCCAUAGAUUCUCUAUGGGGAUCAGGUCAGGCGAGUUUGCUGGCCAAUCAACCACAGUAACACCAUUGUCAUUGAACCAGCUUUUGGUUUCUUUGGCAGUGUGGGCAGGUGCCAAGUCCUGCUGGAAAAUGAAAUCAGCAUCUCCAUAAAGCUUGUCAGCAGAAGGAAGUAUGAAGUGCUCUAAAAUUUCCUGGUAGAUGGCUGCGUUGACUGUGGACUUCAGAAAACACAGUGGACCAACACCAGCAGAUGACAUGGCAGCCCAAAUCACAGACUGUGGAAACUUCACACUGGACUUCAAGCAACAUGGAUUCUGUGCCUCUCCACUCUUCCUUCAGACUCUGGGACCUUGACUUCCAAAUGAAAUGCAAAAUUUACUUUCAUCUGAAAAGAGGACUUUGGACCACUGAGCAACAGUCCAGUUCUUUUUCUCCACAGCCCAGUUAAGAUGCUUCUGACAUUGUCUCUGGUUCAGAAGUGGCUUGGUAGCCCUUUCCCUGAAGACGUCUGAGCGUGGUGACUCUUGAUGCACUGACUCCAGCUUCAGUUCUCUCCUUGUGAAGCUCUCCCAAGUGUUUGAAUCGGCUUUGCUUGACUGUAUUCUCAAGCUUGCGGUCAUCCCUGUUGCUUGUGCACCUUUUCCUACCCAAAUUCUUCCUUCCAGUCAACUUUGCAUUUAAUAUGCUUUGAUACAGCACUCUGUAAACAGCCACAAUUUUCAGUAAUGACCCUCUGUGACUUACCCUCUUUGUGGAGGGCGUCAAUGUUCGUCUUCUGGAUCAUUGCCAAGUCAGCAGUCUUCCCCAUUAUUGUGGUUUCAAAGAACAAGAGAUACCCGGAAUUUAUACUGUAGGGAUGGUCAUUAAUUGAAACUCAAAUGUAAAUAUUCUAAUAUUUUGAGAUACUGAUUUUUGACUUUCAUGAGCUGUAAGCUCUAAUCAUCAGAAUUAAAACAAAAAACGGUAACACUUUACGGUAAGGGUACAUGAAUUACUAUGAAUUCAUGCAUAAAUUAAUAUGUGAAUCAUGCAUUAUUUCAUGUAUUAAUAUCUCAUGAAUUAUCAGGAACUAACAUGAAUUCAAAGUCUUUCAUUCAUGACUUCAUGGAUGAACAACACCUUAAUUAAUACAUUAACUAAGGCGAGUACAUUAUCAUGAUUUAUGAUUUAUUACGCAUAAUCAUGAUGUUUUCUUUGUUCACAAAAAAACAAGGUCUUUACUAUCUAUUGUGGAUAAAGCUAUGCUUAUGGUACAUGAUUCAAAAAAGCAUUAUUUUGUGCAUGUAAGACUACUUGAAUUAUUAAAGGAAUAUACAAAAAUCCACAUUACCUCAUGCAUGCAUACAGGCUAGAACAGUAUAUCAAUUAAUGUGAGAACUAAUGUUUUUCAUUAAAUAUGAUAUGAGUUAUCAAGUAUGUUCAUAUCACUUUAGUUGAGGGGCCACACACAUGAUGAAGUCAUGAGAAGUUAAUGCUUAGUUAAUGAUGAUUACUGUAUUUCGAUGUUAACAGAAUUCACAUACUGUGUUCUGUGAUUGGCCAAUGUACAUUUACCUGCAGGCUACUGUUUUACUUUACAUGCAAUGAAUCUAAAAUAUAUGAAACUUUCACUUUUUGAAAUAAUUUACAAGAAAAAAUGAACUUUUUCACAACAUUAUAAUUUAUUGAGAUGCACCUGUAUUCUUUGUUUUUUCUCAUUGUGAUGGAUGAUUAAGGGAAUUUGGGCUUUAUUUUCCCUAUUAUUUAUAUUUCUGUUAAACAGGAAGCCAUGGCUGGAUAAUUUCAUGUUCAUAAUCACCCUGGAGUGCUCAAAAUUGUGAAUAUGAAUGGGAAUAUACUUCAGAGAUAUUUUACUCAUAAUAAUUUCUAGGGGUGCCAAUAAUGUCCAACGUGUAUUUGAGGAAAACAUUAAUUUCAUAAUGAGAUUUCCCCCCAUUUUCAAUUGUUUUAGUUCAAUGAAAGGUUAGAUUUUUGUGAUUUUUUAAUAAAAAUAAAAGAUCAAAAGGAUUAUUAAUGCAGGUUUAUUUUCAGAGCCUUCUUUGAUCAUAUUUACCAAGGGUGCCAAUAAUUCUGACCACGACUGUAUAUUGAUAUAUAUUAUAUAUAUAUAGGACAUCUUUAGGGUUUAUUUGAUCUCUUUCUUGUUGUUUAAGUUUCACAAGAACAUGUUUUGUUGUUUUGUUUUUAACUUACUGAAUGACAGAUCACUAAGUGGCCUGUUUCUCUCACCAAAGAAUGCAUGACUGUGGGUAGAAAUGAACACAGACACAGUGCUGUGAUGAAACUUUCUUCAGAGGUUUAUUGCUUUAGGCGUUGGUUUAUAUACUACGGAAGGCCUGAACCACAACUUGAAAAAAUAAAAUCAAUGUGGGGGAAAAAUAUGUAGUGUUUUAGAUUAUUUUUUUACUUACAGCAAGAUUACAUAUUUCCUGUUAAUGUUCUUUCUUUGAUGAAUAUGUAAAUAAUUUGGAAAAAUUUCCUUCUCUUUCUCAUUUUGUGUUAGUGCUGCGAUACAGAGAGAGAAGCUAGGAGUUAGUUCAUCUGCUUUCUUAUCUAUGUCUUGUGCUUCACUUGAAUCCACUGAGGUAAAUAUGCCAACAGUUCAGUGAAGGAAAAGCAUAUUCUGAAUAUUUGAUAAAAAGAGCAUAAAUAAUAGUUAAGCAUGUUUCCUGUAAAUAUUCUCCCUUCUUCAUCUCCUAAUGAUGUGAAACUGAGGUUGGACCCUUGAGCAACUGGCCACACGUCACGUCCUUUCCUUCCCUUUCCUUCAAAGAAGAUGAAAACAAUUUUAGUGUUGGACUGGAAUUCCACUUCUGUUUUUUUUCUUCCCCAUUUUGUGACGUCAAACCACCUGAGAUCUUUGACUUCUCAUUGGAUGUUGUUUAACUUUCUUGCACAUGCUCAGAUGGCAGGCGAUCACGAACGGCUGUGCUUUUGUUCAGCUGCAUUGAACUACAUGUAACUGUAUGUAUGAGAAAGUACUAUGGUAGUCAAUGUCUACUGUUAACAGUUUGAUUACUAAAACUGAUCAAAAUGUCAUCUUUGGUGUUCAACAGCUAAAUAAAACUCACUCAUGUUUUCUCAUA